UACGGGGGGGGCAAGCGUUGUUCGGAAUUACUGGGCGUAAAGGGCGCGUAGGCGGCCUUCUAAGUCAGACGUGAAAUCCCUCGGCUCAACCGAGGAACUGCGUCUGAUACUGGAAGGCUUGAAUCCGGGAGAGGGAUGUGGAAUUCCAGGUGUAGCGGUGAAAUGCGUAGAUAUCAGGAGGAACACCCAUGGCGAAGGCAGCUAACUGGGCAUUAUCUGACGCUGAGGCGCGAAAGCGUGGGUAGCAAACAGG
rnacentral:rRNA from 1 species